GACGAACGCUGGCGGCGUGCUUAACACAUGCAAGUCGAACGGAAAGGCCCUGCUUUUGUGUGGUGCUCGAGUGGCGAACGGGUGAGUAACACGUGAGUAACCUGCCCUUGACUUUGGGAUAACUUUAGGAAACUGUGGCUAAUACCGGAUAGGAGCUCCUGCUGCAUGGUGGGGGUUGGAAAGUUUCGGCGGUUGGGGUUGGACUCGCGGCUUAUCAGCUUGUUGGUGGGGUAGUGGCUUACCAAGACUUUGACGGGUAGCCGGCCUGAGAGGGUGACCGGCCACAUUGGGACUGAGAUACGGCCCAGACUCCUACGGGAGGCAACAGUGGGGAAUAUUGCACAGUGGGCGGAAGCCUGAUGCAGCAACUCCGCGUGCGGGAUGACGGCCUUCGGGUUGUAAACCGCUUUCGCCGGUGACGAAGCGUGAGGGACGGUAAUGGGUAAAGAAGCACCGGCUAACUACGUG
rnacentral:rRNA from 1 species